rnacentral:lncRNA from 1 species
ACGAGAUGCACGCAUGAAGCUCAGUUCAUCCCAUAGUUUCUUUAGCUUGUUGAAAUAAGAAGCUAUAUCCAGAGACCCCUGAUUAGUUGAUGCCAACUCCUGCUUAAUCUCAAAUAUCCUGGUGCCAUUCACAGUCCCAUAUCUACUAUUAAGUUGAUUCCAGAUGCUUUGAGCAGUGUCGGAAUACUGAACACUCUCGGCUAUCUCUGGAGCAAGGGAAUUAGUAAGCCAAGAGAUAACCACAUUGUUGCACCUAUCCCAUUGCCUAAACUGAGGAGAGUUUUCUGGAGGUUUGGGAAUCGUUCC